UACUGUAUAUUUGUAAUGGGCAGGCUAUAUUGAUGCUGCACUAUGUAUACCACACAAGUCCCAGCCAGUCUGAGGGUAAAAGACACCAGUAGCCACCAGCAUCUGGCCAGAGGGGUCUGGUCAUGGCCUGCGCAAGGUGUGGGAGGAGCAAGCACAAGACCGCACCUCUCCACUGGCACACAGUAUAUAUAAAGCAGCUGAGCCAGUUAACUGCCUCCUCCUCACCUGCAUCAACUGCAAACCCAGGACCAACCCCUCCUUCUCCCGGUCACUGCUCACCCCCCCACAGGGUCUCACCCCUUCCUGUUGGACUGAUUCCCCAUCUUCUCCCGCUGCUACCUACAUAAGUACUCUGGCCUACUCUUCCAUGGUGGCACUUCCUCCUCGUCAUGGUGCCACCAUCUGCAGUGGCUUCACCUCCAGGACUCCUCACAGAGGCACCACAGUUCUACCUCAGAGAUCCAUGGGCACCAAAUGAGAAUAUAGCUUGCCCCCACCCACAACCUAAAAACGUUCUGACACCCCUGGCUACCUACAACAGUUGAAUACAAGCAAGUUGAAGCCCAGGACUUUGAAAAACACUUGUUACUUUGGAAAUUGAUGGAACUAUGAGCACAUUAAGCUACCUCCCAAUAGUUGCUCCUACCACUAAAAUUACAUUAUAAAGGAUUUUCAGCAUAAUAUUGAUGGCUAUUGUGAUUACCAAUUACAAGUUUAGAUCCCUGGACAUUGGUAAAAAUGGCAGUUUAUCAAAUAGAGGUGAUUUAGAGCAGAUUGUAUCCCUAAACAAACAUAAAAACGACACUCUAAACCUGCCAAGUCCCAGCAAAAAAAAAAAGGUGGCUUUAAGUUUGUUUUUGUCGGGUGGAUGAGGCAUUUGCUUUACAUGCAAAUAUUCAGAAGCCAUUCCCCCAAAGGCUGUUAACCAAUGAGUGUAGAAUUUUUAAUUAUAGGUUAUCAAGUGCAAGUUAAGUAGUGGAGAAUGACUUUGGGAUUUUGAGAAAUAGCUUUUGGAUUUUCCAAACUAUAAUAAAUGUACAGGUAGAAGAAACAGAUUCUGUUUAAUGGCAUGCUAUGUCUUACAGAACUUUUUACGUACAAAAAAAUACCUCUGGAACACGUGUCCCCUACAAUUAAUUAAUGGACAUUAUGGACCAUGCCGACGAAGUAGGGAAAUGGACUCCAUUGUAGCCUGGUGUCCUAAGAAAUGACACUGAACAUUUUAAUUCAAACCGUCAGAGUUAUUAGACUUAUAUUAAAAGUGUUUGAUUUUAAUAAAAUAUAUUAUUUCUUUAACUUUCAA